GGGGGUUUCUUGUCGCAGGAGAGAUGGCGCUAGCUAACCAUGGUCAUAUCAUAUAUAUCAUAUGGCAAGUAUUACUUGCUCUUUGUAUGUAUCAGCUGUAAAGAUAGCUCAGCUAAAGCCAUCCUCCUGCGACUGGACACCCUG
rnacentral:pre_miRNA from 1 species